rnacentral:rRNA from 1 species
UAGAGUUUGAUCCUGGCUCAGGAUGAACGCUAGCGGCGUGCCUAAUGCAUGCAAGUCGAACGGGAUUCCCUGACUUCGGUUGGGGAUGAGAGUGGCGAACGGGUGAGUAACACGUAGGUGACCUGCCCUCGGGAGGGGGACAACCAGUGGAAACGCUGGCUAAUACCCCGGAUGUCAAUCUAGUUAGAGAGGAUUGACUAAAGCUCCGGCGCCCGAGGAGGGGCCUGCGACCCAUCAGCUAGUUGGUAGGGUAAAAGCCUACCAAGGCCGAGACGGGUAGGGGGCUUGAGAGCGUGGCCCCCCACACUGGUACUGACACACGGACCAGAUACCUACGGGUAGCAGCAGCAAGGAAUAUUGCGCAAUGGGCGAAAGCCUGACGCAGCAACGCCGCGUGGAGGAUGAAGGCCUUCGGGUUGUAAACUCCUUUUCUGGGGGAAGAGAACGGACGGUACCCCAGGAAUAAGGCCCGGCUAACUACGUGCCAGCAGCCGCGGUAAAACGUAGGGUCAAGCGUUAUCCGGAAUUACUGGGCGUAAAGGGCGCGUAGGCGUUGCCAAAGUUGGACGUGAAAGCUCCUGGCUCAACUGGGAGAGGCCGUUCAAAACUAGGCGACUAGAGGAUGGUAAGGCGAGUGGAAUUCCCGGUGUAUGGUGAAAAUGCGUAAAUUUCGGGAGGAACACCAGUGGCGAAAGGCGGCUCGCUGGGCCAUAACUGACGCUUAGGGCGCGAAAGCCAGGGGAGAGAACCGGGAUUAAAAACCCCGGUUUUCCUGCCGUAAACGAUGUCAACUAAGUGUAGAGAGCCGAACAGGCUAGCUGUGCUGAAGCAAACGCGAUAAGUUGACCGCCUGGGGAGUACGGCCGCAAGGCUAAAACUCAAAGGAAUUGACGGGGGCCCCGCACAAGCAGCGGAGCGUGUGGUUUAAUUCGAGGCUACGCGAAGAACCUUACCAGGGUUUGACAUGUACGUGGUAGGUAUUGGAAACAAUGCUGACCCUUCGGGGAGCGUACACAGGUGCUGCAUGGCUGUCGUCAGCUCGUGCCGUGAGGUGUUAGGUUAAGUCCUGUAACGAGCGCAACCCUCGUCGUUAGUUACAAGUGUCUAACGAGACUGCCGGUGAUAAGCCGGAGGAAGGUGGGGAUGACGUCAAGUCAGCAUGGCCUAUAUAUCCUGGGCUACACACACGCUACAAUGGCCGGUACAAUGGGCAGCGAAGUCGCGAGACGGAGCCAAUCCUGAAAAGCCGGUCUCAGUUCGGAUUGCAGGCUGCAACUCGCCUGCAUGAAGUCGGAGUUGCUAGUAAACGCGCGUCAGCCACAGUGCGUUGAAUACGUUCCCGGGCCUUGUACACACCGCCCGUCACGUCGUGGAAGUUGGCAACGCCUGAAGUCGGUGGGCUAACCCUAACGGGAGGCAGCCGCCUAAGGCGGGGUCGGUAACUGGGACGAAGUCGUACAAGGUANCUGUAGCGGAGCUGCGGCUGGAUCACCUCCUUA